rnacentral:rRNA from 1 species
UACGGAGGGUGCAAGCGUUAUCCGGAUUCACUGGGUUUAAAGGGUGCGUAGGUGGGUAGGUAAGUCAGUGGUGAAAUCUCCGGGCUUAACCCGGAAACUGCCGUUGAUACUAUUUGUCUUGAAUAUUGUGGAGGUAAGCGGAAUAUGUCAUGUAGCGGUGAAAUGCUUAGAUAUGACAUAGAACACCAAUUGCGAAGGCAGCUUACUACACAAUGAUUGACACUGAGGCACGAAAGCGUGGGGAUCAAACAGG